UACGUAGGGUGCGAGCGUUGUCCGGAAUUAUUGGGCGUAAAGGGCUCGUAGGCGGUUUGUCGCGUCGGGAGUGAAAUCCACUGGCUUAACUGGUGGCUUGCUUUCGAUACGGGCAGACUGGAGGUAUGCAGGGGGAGAACGGAAUUCCUGGUGUAGCGGUGAAAUGCGCAGAUAUCAGGAAGAACACCAAUGGCGAAAGCAGCUUUCUGGGACGGUACUGACGCUGAGACGCGAAAGCGUGGGGAGCGAACAGG
rnacentral:rRNA from 1 species